rnacentral:rRNA from 1 species
AGCGAACGCUGGCGGCAGGCCUAACACAUGCAAGUCGAACGAACUCUUCGGAGUUAGUGGCGGACGGGUGAGUAACACGUGGGAACGUGCCUUUUGGUUCGGAAUAACUCAGGGAAACUUGUGCUAAUACCGAAUGUGCCCUUCGGGGGAAAGAUUCGUCGCCAUUAGAGCGGCCCGCGUCCGAUUAGCUAGUUGGUGAGGUAACGGCUCACCAAGGCGACGAUCAGUAGCUGGUCUGAGAGGAUGACCAGCCACACUGGGACUGAGACACGGCCCAGACUCCUACGGGAGGCAGCAGUGGGGAAUCUUGCGCAAUGGGCGAAAGCCUGACGCAGCCAUGCCGCGUGAAUGAUGAAGGUCUUAGGAUUGUAAAAUUCUUUCACCGGGGACGAUAAUGACGGUACCCGGAGAAGAAGCCCCGGCUAACUUCGUG